GUGGCAGGGGCGGCGGUAAAACGUAGGAUCCGAGCGUUAUCCGAAUUUACUGGGCGUAAAGCGCGUGCAGGCGGUUUGGUAAGUUGGAUGUGAAAGCUCCCGGCUCAACUGGGAGAGGUCGUUCAAUACUGCCAGACUAGAGGAUGGUAGAGGGAGGUGGAAUUCCCGGUGUAGUGGUGAAAUGCGUAGAUAUCGGGAGGAACACCAGUGGCGAAGGCGGCCUCCUGGGCCAUUCCUGACGCUAAGACGCGAAAGCUAGGGGAGCAAACGGGAUUAGAAACCCCGGUAGUCCUAGCUGUAAACGAUGUGGACUUGGCGUUGGUGGGGUAAAAGCCAUCAGUGCCGUAGCUAACGCGAUAAGUCCACCGCCUGGGGACUACGACCGCAAGGUUAAAACUCAAAGGAAUUGACGGGGACCCGCACAAGCAGCGGAGCGUGUGGUUUAAUUCGAUGCUACGCGAAGAACCUUACCCGGGUUUGACAUACUGGUGGUAGGGAUCCGAAAGGUGACCGACCCUUCGGGAAGCCAGUACAGGUGCUGCAUGGCUGUCGUCAGCUCGUGCCGUGAGGUGUCCGGUUAAGUCCGGUAACGAGCGCAACCCUCGCCGUAUGUUAUAUGUGUCAUACGGGACUGCCGGUAUAAAGCCGGAGGAAGGUGGGGAUGACGUCAAGUCAGCAUGGCCUUUAUGUCCGGGGCUACACACACGCUACAAUGGCCAGCACAAUGGGUUGCAAGACCGCAAGGUGGAGCCAAUCCCUAAAGUUGGUCUCAGUUCAGAUUGUAGGCUGCAACUCGCCUACAUGAAGCCGGAGUUGCUAGUAACCGCAGGACAGCUAUACUGCGGUGAAUACGUUCCCGGGUCUUGUACACACCGCCCGUCACGUCAUGGAAGCUGGCAACACCUGAAGCCGGUAUCCUAACCCGCAAGGGAGGGAGCUGCCAAAGGUGGGGCUGGUAACUGGGACGAAGUCGUAACAAGGUAACC
rnacentral:rRNA from 1 species